GAUGAAGAACGUAGCGAAGUGCGAUAUGUAAUGUGAAUUGCAGAAUUCAGUGAAUCAUCGAAUCUUUGAACGCACAUUGCGCCCGCCAGUAUUCUGGCGGGCAUGCCUGUUCGAGCGUCAUUUCAACCCUCAGGCCCCCAGUGCCUGGUGUUGGGGAUCGGCAGCAGGGCGUCAAGCCCGCCGGCCCCGAAAUCUAGUGGCGGUCUCGCUGUAGUCCUCCUCUGCGUAGUAGCACAACCUCGCAGUUGGAACGCGGCGGUGGCCAUGCCGUUAAACACCCCACUUCUGAAAGUUGACCUCGGAUCAGGUAGGAAUACCCGCUGAACUUAAGCAUAUCAAUAAGCGGAGGA
rnacentral:misc_RNA from 1 species